rnacentral:lncRNA from 1 species
AAUGCCAUAAGUUCUGACGCUACUUUGGUGACUGUGGUGAGCGCUUCCUCGAUCCUGCCCCCUGCACUUAGACCUAAGGUGACCGCUGCCUCGAACCUGGCCCCUGCAGUUAGACCUAAGGUGACCGCUGCCUCGAACCUGGCCCCUGCAGUUGGACCUAAGGUGACCGCCGCCUCGAACCUGGCCCCUGCAGUUGGACCUAAGGUGACCACUUUCGGAGGCACGGCAACUCUGACUUCGAACAACAGAGGCAGUCUUAAUGUAUGCAAUGGAGGUUUC